AAUUCCUUCUAAAGCUAAAUAUUGACGAGAGACCGAUAGCGAACAAGUACUGUGAAGGAAAGAUGAAAAGCACUUUGAAAAGAGAGUGAAAAAGUACGUGAAAUUGUUAAAAGGGAAGGGUAUUGAAUCAGACGNGGUGCUGUUGUUCAACUUUGUUUCGGCAUGGUGUACUCAGCAGUACUAGGCCAAGGUGGGGUGUUUGGGAGUGAAAAAGGAAUAGGAACGUAGCUCUUCGGAGUGUUAUAACCURUUUUCAUAGCUCCUCAGGCGCCUCAGGACUGCGCUUCGGCAAGGACUUUGGCAUAAUGAUUCUAUACCGCCCGUCUUGAAACACGGACCAAGGAGUCUAACGUCUAUGCGAGUGUUUGGGUGUAAAACCCGUACGCGUAAUGAAAGUGAACGUAGAUAGGAGCAGUAAAAUGCGCACUAUCGACCGAUCCUGAUGWUUUCAGAUGGAUUUGAGUAAGAGCAUAGCUGUUGGGACCCGAAAGAUGGUGAACUAUGCCUGAAUAGGGUGAAGCCAGAGGAAACUCUGGUGGAGGCUCGUAGCGGUUCUGACGUGCAAAUCGAUCGUCAAA
rnacentral:rRNA from 1 species